UUUUUUAAAUAUAAAAUUUUUAAUAAAUUACACUAGAGAAAAAAAAAGACAAUAUAUCAAUAACCUUAUUUUUAAAAGCAUGUUGCAUAUAUAAGUUAAGUUAGAUUAUACAUUCAAAUACUAUGUACAGUUUUAUACAAAUAUUUGUACAUCUAUUGUGGUCAUAGAGACAUGCACAAGCUAAGUGAAAUGACUUUGAGCAGAAACAGAACCAUCCAUUCUUACACAAUGUCAUCGCCCAACACACAGCCUCUUCAUUCAUCA